UCCCUGAUAGUCCAAGGGUUAGGACUCCACACUCUCACUGCAGAGGGCCCUGGUUCAAUCCCUGGUCAGGGAA
rfam:Ovis aries breed Texel chromosome 17, whole genome shotgun sequence.